GCCCACGUAGCUCAGGGGUAGAGCAACUCCAUGGUAAGGAGUAGGUCAGCGGUUCAAAUCCGCUCGUGGGCUCCA
rnacentral:tRNA from 1 species